rnacentral:misc_RNA from 1 species
GUACCCUCAAGCUCUGCUUGGUGUUGGGUGUUGUCCAGUGUGGACUCGCCUCAAAACAAUUGGCAGCCGGCAUAUCUGGUCUUGGAGCGCAGCACAAUUGCACUUCCAGCCUGAGAUGUUGGCAUCCACAAGCCUAAUUUUUUAC